GGCAAGGUGACCGAGCGGUUAAGGUGAUAGUCUCAAGCGCCAAGCUUGGCUGUACAAACAGCUGUGAUCUAUUGGGGAAACCCGCGUGAGUUCGAAUCUCACCCUUGUCA